UACAGAGGGGGCAAGCGUUGUUCGGAAUUACUGGGCGUAAAGGGCGCGUAGGCGGCCUCCUAAGUCGAACGUGAAAUCCCCGGGCUCAACCCGGGAACUGCGUCCGAUACUGGUAGGCUUGAAUCCGGGAGAGGGAUGCGGAAUUCCAGGUGUAGCGGUGAAAUGCGUAGAUAUCUGGAGGAACACCGGUGGCGAAGGCGGCAUCCUGGACCGGCAUUGACGCUGAGGCGCGAAAGCCAGGGGAGCAAACGGG
rnacentral:rRNA from 1 species